CAGCUCGCCUCAGCACAUAUGCUAAAACUGGAACGAUACAGAGGUUAGCACGGCCCCUGCACAAGGAUGAUACGAAAAUUCGUGAAGCAUUCCAUAUUAAA
ensembl:snRNA U6 U6 spliceosomal RNA